CCUACGGGUGGCAGCAGUGGGGAAUCUUGCACAAUGGGCGAAAGCCUGAUGCAGCGACGCCGCGUGAAGGAUGAAGGCCUUCGGGUUGUAAACUUCUUUUGCAGGGGAAGAUGAUGACGGUACCCUGCGAAUAAGCCACGGCUAACUCUGUGCCAGCAGCCGCGGUAAGACAGAGGUGGCGAGCGUUGUUCGGAAUUACUGGGCUUAAAGGGCGCGUAGGCGGUGAUGCAAGUCUGGGGUGGAAUCUCACAGCUUAACUGUGGAACUGCCCUGGAAACUGUAUUGCUUGAGUCGGACAGGGGAAGGCGGAAUUCCAGGUGUAGCGGUGAAAUGCGUAGAUAUCUGGAGGAAGGCCUGUGGUGAAGACGGCCUUCUGGGUCUUGACUGACGCUGAGGCGCGAAAGCGUGGGGAGCAAACAGGAUUAGAUACCCUUGUAGUC
rnacentral:rRNA from 1 species